AUCAAGAGCUGAUCAUAAAUAGAAGGUCAAAGUGACCUAUUGUGACAUCAAACCUUGGAGCCACUUUAAUGUGACUUCACUAAAUUGCCUUCAUCCAGUGCCUCACAGACAGCAUCCCAGCACAUCAUGGAGACCUAAGUGACAGAACAGGCAGCUCCUCUUCUCCCUGCUCUCCCCUCCAUGGCCCAUCUCAUCCACCUCUGCCAUCUCCAUGUCCAAGUUCAGGGGCAGCAGUGGUAUGUGAUGUUGGCAGCGGUGCCCAAACAUCAGCAAUCAGCCUACUGCUGUCCCAGCACCAAGCCAGGGGCUGUGAAGGGUGAAGGAGAAGGCUCUUUGGGUCAUCUGACCCUGGCUUCCACUCAAAAUGAGACACCAGGGUGUUCCCCACCCACAUACAUUCAGGAUUGCUGUCUUCAAUCUCUAUUUGAGACAUCAGAGAUGUCAUCAUUUCCAUAUGCUUCUCCUAAUAAAGUAACAUCCAUUUAAAGGCA